ensembl:lncRNA
CAGUAUGAUAGAUAGGAUAGAUACAGUAUGAUACAUACAGUAUGAUAGAUAGGAUAGAUACAGUAUGAUAGAUACAGUAUGAUAGAUAGGUUAGAUACAGUGUGAUAGAUAGGUUUGAUACAGUGUGAUAGAUACAGUGUGAUAGAUACAGUAUGAUAGAUACAGUAUGAUAGAUACAGUAUGAUAGAUACAGUAUGAUAGAUACAGUAUGAUAGAUAGGUUCGAUACAGUCUGAUAGAUAGGUUCGAUACAGUGUGAUAGAUAGGUUCGAUACAGUGUGAUAGAUAGGUUCGAUACAGUAUGAUAGAUACAGUAUGAUAGAUACAGUAUGAUAGAUACAGUAUGAUAGAUAGGUUAGAUACAGUAUGAU